rnacentral:tRNA from 1 species
GCCUGGCUGGCUCAGUCAGAGGAGUGUGAGACUCUUGAUCCUGGGGUUGUGAGUUUGAGUCCCAUGCUGGGUG